rnacentral:pre_miRNA from 1 species
AUUCUACUCCCUCCGUUGCACAAUACAUGCCUUCUAUUUAUCAAAAUAUAUAUGUAUCUAGACAUGUUUUAGUAUAUAGGUACAUCCAUUUUUGGACAAAUGGAAGUCAAGUAUUUUGGAACGGAGGGAGUACAGA